GAGGAAGAGAGGAGCAAAUAUAUAUAUGGCACUCCAGGAAGAUGAAGUGUAUGCAGCUGUAGUCUGGGAGGUCUGAUGUUAGGGAAAAAGGAGGAAAGCAAGAUUAAAAAUCAUUCCUGGAAAUGCAAGAGCAAAUGUGCUGGAGUGGUGCUGUGAGUAUCAGGGACACUGGACAAGAAAGAUAAGCAAGCCACUGCCGUCUGAUUCCUACAUAGCAGACCCCUAAUUCCAGCAACCAGUUUGAAGACCCCCACAGAAGAGUGAGAUCAGCAGGAGAAUACACCUCAUUCAUCUCCCUAUUCCAUGACUUCACUGUGCACUCUGGGACCAAUCAACAAUCUCCACACUUCAGUUCACUCCAAAACCCUUAAAAAUUUUAUCCUCAAAUUCUUCAGGGAGAUGGAUUUGAGGCUCCCUCCCAUCUCCUUGUUCAGUGACCCUGCAAUUGAAUCUCUUUCUCUGCGCCAACUCAGCAUCUUGGUGUAUUGACUUGCUGUAUGCAUCAGGCAAUAAGCCUAUUACAGCUACGGUAGUCUAUCCAAUAUGAAACAAGAAAUAAAAUUCUG
rnacentral:lncRNA from 1 species